UUCCGUAGGUGAACCUGCGGAAGGACAUAAAAAUUCUGCCAUUGUUUGGUGAAACAAUAAUCCUACCUUUGUGAAUUUGUUGUUUGUAAUAUUUUUAAAGAAAUUAUUUACUGUCUAUCCUGGAUAGUAAAAGUUGGAAGGAGUAUCUAGAAACUUUGCUUCAGGGAAUAGUAUGUAUAAAUUUUCAUUAAAGACCUUUUUUUAAAUAAACUUUGUAUUCAUUUGUCUAAAAUUUAUUUUAAAUAAUUUAAAAACACUUUUGACAAUGGAUCUCUUGUUCUCGCACGAUGAAGAACGCAGCAAAAUGCGAUAAGUAGUGUGAAUGCAGAAUACGUGAAUCAUCAAAUCUUCGAACGCAUAUUGCACUUUUUUAGUUUACUAAAAAGUAUGUCUGUUUGAGUAUCAGUAAAAUAUUCUCAAUAAACUUUUUUGUUAUUGGUUAUGAUGUUUACAACGAUACAAGUUGUUUCACUUUAAAUUGACUUUAUAUAAACUAUCCAUUUAGUCAAUUUUUAAAUUGGAUAAAAUUUUCUGUAAAAGGGAUAACUUGACAGUUUUAAAGAAAGAUCUAAAAAGGUUUUCUUAAAAGGAAAUUUAUAAUAAACUAACUUGAUCUCAAAUCAGAUAAGUACCCGCUGAACUUAAGCAUAUCAAUAAGCGGAGGAAAAACAACAGAUUCCCUGUAACGCGAGUGAGCGGGAAGAGCUCAAAUUUGAAAUCUUCAAGGUUCCUUGACGAUUGUAGUUUAUAGAAGUGUUUUCUGUUAGAGAGUGGUAAAAGUUCUUUGGAAUAGGACAUCAUAGAGGUGAGAUCCCGUAUUGAUCACUUCUACUAACGUUGUGAUACACUUUCAACGAGUCGGAUUGUUUGGGAAUGCAGUCCAAAUGGUGUAAUUUCAUCUAAAGCUAAAUAUUGGCGAGAGACCGAUAGCGAACAAGUACGGAGGAAAGAUGAAAAGAACUUGAAAAGAGUUAAACAGUACGUGAAAUUGUCAAAAGGAAGCGUUUGACACCAGUGUUGUUUUCCGAAAAUCAAUUAGAAUGGCGGGAUUCUAAGUUCAUGACCUUAAAAGCUUGUUUCUUUCUUUCCUGUCUUUCUUAAUGCACUUUCGGUUAACAAUCAACAUCAAUUUCUUUUGUUGUAAAAGGUAGAGAAGGUGGCUUACUUUCGGGUAAGUGUUUUAGCUUUUAACUCUGCAAUCGGAGAGAUUGAGGUCUGCAGCGUAGAUCCUUCGGGCUAGAUACGUUUGUGCUAAGUUAUAGCUUUUCAUAGACAACUUGUUGACUAUGUUAGUCUUGUAGCUUACUCGCAGAUGCUAUUU
rnacentral:misc_RNA from 1 species